rnacentral:rRNA from 1 species
UACGUAGGUGGCGAGCGUUGUCCGGAUUUACUGGGCGUAAAGGAUGCGUAGGCGGAUAUUUAAGUAGGAUGUGAAAUACCCGGGCUCAACUUGGGUGCUGCAUUCCAAACUGGAUAUCUAGAGUGCAGGAGAGGAAAGUGGAAUUCCUAGUGUAGCGGUGAAAUGCGUAGAGAUUAGGAAGAACAUCAGUGGCGAAGGCGACUUUCUGGACUGUAACUGACGCUGAGGCAUGAAGCGUGGGGAGCAAACAGG